GAUUAACGCUAGCGGCAGGCCUAAUACAUGCAAGUCGAACGGGAUUCAAAGUAGCAAUAUUUUGAUGAGAGUGGCGCACGGGUGAGUAACACGUAUGCAAUUUACCUUUAACUGGGGGAUAGCCCUCCGAAAGGAGGAUUAAUACCGCAUAAUAUAUUGAAAUGGCAUCAUUUUAAUAUUAAACCUACGGGGGUUAAAGAUGAGCAUGCAUCCGAUUAGCUAGUUGGUGUGGUAACGGCUCACCAAGGCAACGAUCGGUAGGGGGUCUGAGAGGAUGAUCCCCCANACUGGUACUGAGACACGGACCAGACUCCUACGGGAGCAGCAGUAAGGAA
rnacentral:rRNA from 1 species